UACGUAGGGCGCAAGCGUUGUCCGGAAUUAUUGGGCGUAAAGAGCUCGUAGGUGGUGUGUCGCGUCUGCCGUGAAAGCCCGGGGCUUAACUCCGGGUCUGCGGUGGAUACGGGCAGACUAGAGGCAGGUAGGGGAGAACGGAAUUCCCGGUGUAGCGGUGAAAUGCGCAGAUAUCAGGAGGAACACCAGUGGCGAAGGCGGUGGUCUGGGCCGGAACUGACGCUGUAGAGCGAAAGCGUGGGGAGCGAACAGG
rnacentral:rRNA from 1 species